CAACCAACCAAAUUCCGUACGAUCACCGAAGUUAAGCAAUGUCGGGCAUGGUCAGUACCUUGAUGGGUGACUGCUUGGGUAUACCAGGUGCU